GACGAACGCUGGCGGCGUGCCUAAUACAUGCAAGUCGAGCGAACAGACGAGGAGCUUGCUCCUCUGACGUUAGCGGCGGACGGGAGAGUAACACGUGGAUAACCUACCUCUAAGACUGGGAUAACUUCGGGAAACCGGAGCUACUACCGGAUAAUAUAUUGAACCGCAUGGUUCAAUAGUGAAAGUCGGUUUUGCUGUCACUUAUAGAUGGAUCCGCGCCGCAUUAGCUAGUUGGUAAGGUAACGGCUUAGCAAGGCAACGAUGCGUAGCCGACCUGAGAGGGUGAUCGGCCACACUGGAACUGAGACACGGCCCAGACUCCUACGGUAGGCAGCAGUAGGGAAUCUUCCGCAAGGGGGGAAAGCCUGACGGAGCAACGCCGCGUGAGUGAUGAAGGUCUUCGGAUCGGAAAACUCUGUUAUUAGGGAAGAACAAAUGUGUAAGUAACUGUGCACGUCUUGACGGUACCUAAUCAGAAAGCCACGGCUAACUACGUG
rnacentral:rRNA from 1 species